rnacentral:lncRNA from 1 species
CUGAUGGAUCGGAAUAGAAUUUAUUUUGAUGCUGAGGUUUGGAUGAGUCAUCCAAGCCGUAACCCUAACCCAAAUGAUGAACCCUAAUCCUAACCCUAGGGAAGGGGAAACCCCAACCCUAGCUGUCGUCGGAGCAUGGACGGCAGAAGAUCCGGCUAAGAGGAUAGGGGAGAGUGGAAGAGGAAAAAGAGAAAAAUGAGGAGAUUAAUCCAGGAAAAGAAAAGAGGAGGAAGUAAGCGAAAGAGGAAAAGCAGAAUUGAAAAAAAAAGGGACGGCGGGAGGAGGAAGAGGAGGGCUUAUCGUGAGGUGGAUCGAGUUAUCGAUAACCUCAAGGG